rnacentral:tRNA from 1 species
UUAACCAUAGCUCAGUGGAGCGUUUUACUGUUAAUAAAAAGGUAAGGAAAUCUCCUUUGGUUAAA